CAAUUGAUUUACCAUAUAAAGUUAUUUAUUUUAGAAAAUUUGUAAUGUUCACUGAAAUAAUACAGGUAAGUACAGAAUUAAUAAAUUUAUAAUUUUAAGGUUGUGGGUGGCCAAUGUUUUUAAUCAAUAAUUCAUUCUAUGUACAUAUAUACAUACAUAUAAAGUGGCAGAUACUAUGAGUAUCCAAGUAAUUCUUUGAUAUGUUUAAAAUAAGUGAUACAUAUAUAAGUGAAUGAUCCGUAAAUGCAAAGUAACAAAGUUUUACUAAACAUUUAGUAUAAAAAGUAUUGUCUUUAAUUGCGUCCGAAUUUGAAGGGGAAAAGAAAAUUUUUGAUGGGAGUUGGGAGUUAAUCUUGUUGUAACAAAAUUAUUUAUUUACGUUUUUAAAAUUUGGAGAAGAAUUGAUAAAGACAUCAUCAAUUCCACAAUUUACCGAUACAUUGUUCUUUAAAACAAGGCGGUUAUAAUGAAGCAUGUCAAGUAAGUUAUUGAUCUAGAUAAAUUGUUAUUGUUAUAUGUCGUAAUGAGUAAUUUUUAUUGACGUUUUCGUGACGAAUAUAAAAAAUAUUAUCCAUUACAAACACCACGAAAUUAAUGAGAAUAAUUUUCGGAUGUAUGAUUUUAAUCGUUUUCCAUUAUUUUUAACCACACAAACAAACACCCCGAGAUCAUUAGAAUUAUUUAUUUUCCUGAUUUUAUUUUAUCACGCCUAUUGACGUCAAUGUAUUGUACUGUCAAUUAAAAUGCUUAUUAAAAUAUUGCAGAUAUGUUAAUUAAAGUAUACAUUAAUUAAAUUCGUAGUUCUGUUUUAAUAUGUGAUUAGAUUACCGAUGUUAUUACUGGUAACAUUUUCUUGAUCAUAUAAAAAUAUCUAUCAUUUUCGUAUCUAUAUAUAAUAAUGUAGAAGGUAAUAAACAUACCUUUAAAUUAAAUUCUGUAAUAACGAAGCUUUUUAGUAUGGGUGAAAAUCUUUCCACAGGAAAAUUCUAAUUUUUCAUUAACAAGCGAAAUUAAAAUCUCGAAAUCCACAAGUUUAUCGUUUUCAUUUGAAUCGAUAAUUUACUUUAAAGUCAUAUUUUUCUUAUGAAGCUUACAGACCUUAUUCCAACUUCGUCUGAUGUCCACGCUUCUGUAAUAAAACUAAUAUUUUUCGGAUUUACUACGCGAUUAUAAUUACUUGACAACAUACUCCCGACGUUUCUCACCCCGUCUGCCCGUGAACUCUGUUGCUCCAAAGUAAACGAAACGUCGGGAAUAUGGAUGCGUUGUUAAAAAUAAUUUAAACGCGUAGUAAAUCCGAUAUAUAUUAGUCUACAAUUCUGUUUUCUCUGUCUUGCAAUAACAAAGUUUUCAAAUUAAUAUUACCUAUUAUGUGCUGUUCUAAUGUUGGUAACACUCUAAAUUAUUUAUAUCAAUAAUUCUUCUUAUAGUUAUAGACUGUCAACAAAAAUAUAGAUGAGAUAUUUAAUUAAAAGAAUUGAAAAAAAAUGAAUACAUUCCAUUUUUAAAAAUUUACUUUAAAUCUAAGCAAUGCUACACUUUUCUUUGCGUACCUAAUGUCUAAGUGCAUGAGAUUAUUGUUUAUCGGCAUUCUAAAUUUCAUAACAAUUGAUCUUGUUUAUCACUGUUUAACCGACUUGGAAAAAGAAGUAAUUAAUGAAUAGUUUUUAUUUUAAUUUAUUAAAAUUUGGAAAGAUAAGGACAAUAGGACAGAUUGUUCUUAAAAAUUAUUUUAGCUUUUUAGCGUUUUCGUAUGUUUACUAUCAAUACUGAGCGUAAAUAUACACGCAAAACCUUUUUACGCAGAUAAUGUGUUAAAGAGUGGUAUUAUGACAGUGGCUGAAUAGUAAAAGAUAUGAUCACAAAAAUUUAAAGUUUUAUAUACGAUCUCAAGAAAAACUCGCUUUGAAUUAACCAACUGCCAUUUUUUUUUCAUGUUUUUUAUUUAUCGAUUGCAUAACUUAAUAAAUAGUUUUUUUUUAUUCAGCUAAAGUUUAAAUAGCUUCACAUUGUAUUUUUCCAUGACAGAACGAGAUAAAAUAAUAUAUAUAUAUAUUUGUCAGUUUUAAUCCUGUCAUUUUGUUAAGGCCGGAUGUUCGUUUCCGCCGUCAUGUUAUUGCUAAUGUCAAACGGGACACUAAUUAAAUGUGAACUAGACCUUUAAAUUUUAUCGUUUUUUAAACAUAAUUUUUAUUUAGUUAAUAAAUUUUUGUAAUAGUUUUAUAUUGAGAUUGAUGAAGCUCUUUGCGGGGUCGUAGGUAUAUUCUGGUUAUAAGAUUUGAUUUGUUUUACCUUGUUUGCUUAACAGAUUAAAUAAAAAUAUUAUUGAAAGCUCAUAUAUUUUAACUAAUUAUUAAUUCUAAGAGCAUCAUGAUAAACAAUUCCUGUAAUUCAAUACGAGUGUAUUGUUUACUAUAAUUUUUCUCACAUCAGCUUUGUUGGGUAGCAUAUAUUGUAACACAAUAAGCGAGUUUGUUAAAACAUUCUUAUAUAUGUAUGUAUAUCAUACCACUGACGUCAUUUUGCGGUAAGGAAAAAAAAUGUUCUGCUCCGUGAAUUGAAGUCUGUUAGUUAAUGUAGGUACUCGUAAAUUUCAAUUUAAUAUUUAUAAUGUAUUGAGAGAAAAAAAAGACUCGAUUGCUUCAUUAAUGAUGAAAAGUACACAAUGGCUUGUUAUAGCUUUGUUGUUUUCUAUAGUAGGUUGUUUUAUAUUUUUUUUAUAGUUGUCCCACCCACCAUUGACGUCAAUCGACCGGUUUUAUAUGUGUGUGUGUAUGUAUGUAUGUGUGUUUAUAUGUUCGUAUGUGUGGUUUUGUAGGGCCGGCGUUACGGUAAUCAUGUAUUACAAUCAUUUAGAAAUCAGAGAUAAUAUAUGUUCAUAUUUAUAUUAAACAAUUUCUUUGAAAUUAAUCGUUACGUUCACAAGCUAAUGACAUAUGUAAUAAUCCUCAUAUUAUUAUUUUUGUUACCUAAGAGACUUGUGUUUCGCAGAUUUGAAUGUCAUUUAUGUUACCCAUAUGUCUCUAUAAAUAUCUAAGACAAGUACACAUUGAUAAAUUAUAUGUUUCUCUGUUAUUUUUAUUCAGCAGCUAGCUUUAAUUGCUACAUGUAUUUAAGCAUUUAAUAAAAUUUUUAAUCUGUAUGUAUCGAGUAUGAUAACAAUGGUUACAAAUUUACUUUUAAGUGUAAAUUAUACUAUUCAUAUAUGAUUUCAUUUGGAAUAUUGUCAUAGAAAAAAAUUUAUGAGUGUUUUUAUAAUUUCCUUUAGAUUUUUGUGAAAUUUCUUUAUUUAAUUGUUUAGUUAAUAUACUCGUAUAACCAAUCGCCAGCCCUAUUGUGUGAGCAAGUGUCGAAUCACUCGUUGCAAGCGUGUCGCUUGUUAUAAAACAGGAUGGCAUCCAACAUAAAAUUGAUUUCAAUUUCCAACUAACAGUGUCAUCGUUGGCUUACUAAAUUGUCGUAAUUACUGUGUGAACGAUCGCAUACGUUUGUGUUCUUCGAAUAAUGCCUUGGGACUUUAUAUAAUCUGUUAUAAUAAACGCUGAUUGAGGGCGUUGACUCCUGAGCGACCUGGCGAUGGCUGGACCUGGAACCACUUCAUCGGGAACAAGGCUUCUAUGUAUUUUAAUUUUAGUUACAUCCGUUUUCUUUUAUUAACAUAUUAUUCAUUUAUUAAUAUAGAAACAUCUUUAUAUUUUCCAAAAUAUAUCCUGAGAUAUAUCUUCGGAUAUAUUUCGUCAUUUCAUUUUAGUGAGAUGAAAAUAAAUGCGAAGAUAUAUUACUUUUUAGAUAUUUUCAAUUAUAGCUUGUUUAUACGAAGGCAACUUUUAAAUAAAUAUUUUUUUGUUUAAAUAUGUUUAUAAUACAAUUAUUAUGAAUAUUUAAUUAUAUUAUAACAGAAUCAAUAUAUCUCAGAUUACUACAGUAUUAAGUGUAAAAUGUUAAUGUAAAUUAAGAGUGAUAGAGUCUACGUCCUAUAUAUUUGUAGCUAUCAAUUUUUCUUUUGUGUCCCGUCGGCUAAUAACUUCCUCCAAAGAUUCUUAUGUUUAUAUUUAAGACGCUUAUACAUUUUAAUACAAGUUUCCUUAAAGAGUUAUCUAUUUCUGUAAUUCAAUAAUUACGUUAAUUUUAAAUAACGUACAGAUUUAUUGCAAUGUAAUAAUGCACAAAAUUGAGGAAUAGAUAAUUGUUUUUGUUACAUUAUUCUUCGUACUUUAGGUGUUGUAUUGACGUCGGUAAUUCAAUGAGAAGUUGGAAACUCUCAGUAUAUGGUGUGACAAUAGACUUGGUGUAAGCAUAUAGCUAUGCAUAAAUACUUCUUACCCCUUAUCCUUAUGAUCCCCUUCAUUGAAGAACUUUUGUUGUUCCAUGUGUUACGAGUGUAUCGAAAUGUCAGCUAUUUUGCAAAUCCAUUUAAAAAUUUGCAAACAAAAUAUCUUUAUUUUGUUUCCAAUGACAUUCUUGCAUAAUUAAUAUUUUAUUAGUGUAACACUCAUAAAAUUACAUUUAUUUAAAUUUAUUAGCUGUCUGUGUUAAAAUGUUAUUUCUAAAAAAUAUAUUAGGAUUCCAAAUUUUACUUAUAAUUAUCAAGUUCAUUCAAAUUAAUGAUACUUUCUUUACUCAAUAUCUCGAAGUAACCUUCCUGGAACAAUAAAAUGUUUUUCAUAUAAAAAUCUACGAAUAAAUUAUAAAUUAUUAAUAUACGCGUUUCCGUUGAAUUGUGUACUCGAGAUAUUACUCGUAAUGAUAUUAACCAAAUAAUAUUUACAAAUGUUAAUCUUAUUAAAUUUACAGAUAAGUUAAUAUGUUUAUUCAGCAUGAAUAUGUUUUAAUUAAUUAAUAUUUUUUUUUAAAUAAGUUCUCGUAACUUAUAAUCUGUGCAAUAUUAUUAACAAUAUAUUCGUUCUAUUUAUUCUAUGCCGUUAUUUAUAUAAGACUGUUAUAUUUUGUCGGAAAACUUUAUAACCGCAUAAGUUUUAAACGAGCAUUCCAGAAUAGUAACCAAGAAUAACAAUUUAAACAUAUCAUGGUUAUCAUUUAAUUACUUUGAUGUUUGUAAAAACAAUAAUAAUAACCCAAAAAUAUAAUAAAAUAAAAAAGUUAAUAUAAGUAAAACUAUCUUAUGAUAUACUUUUCAUUUAUUGCAUAGAGUGAAAUUUAGUUAUUUUGUAUAAGUUAUACUAUAUUGUAUUCUAUACAUAAGUUGUUGGUAUUAUAAUAUGAGCCUCAGCGUAACUAUGACUUGUAAUAAAAGUGAUUGUUUAAUAA